CAAAAAUCUAGGAAAAUCGGCCCAUUCCUCAGGAAAACCUAGCAGAAACGCAUCCUUGUAACCAUCAAAUGUAGAUUUUCUGUUUCUCUUCUAGAGUCUCUUUUCUCCCAAUAUGAAGAACAGCCUAAUCGGAACCCAUCUUUCUCAGAUACAAAAACGUUUUCUGCGAGCAUCUGCAAUACCCUUCUCUUCCAAUUCUCCAUUGCCCACUGCCACUUCCUCACAGUCUUUUACAGUUCAACAUCUCGUCAACUCAUGUGGGAUUCCCCUAGAAUCUGCUCUUUCAGACUCCCGGAAGUGUCAGGUCGACGAGAAUCACCUACAGAGAGCUCAAUCUGUACUGGAAGUCUUGAAAGCUCACAACUUCACUGAUACCCAUGUGGCCAGAUUGAUCUCAAAACAGCCCCAAGUCCUCCAUUGCAGAGUGAGCGAAAAUCUCCAGCCUAAAUUUGAGUAUCUCAUGAAAAAUGGCUUUGUAGGUGAGCUUCUGCCUGAGCUUAUUGUGUCAAAUCCGAUAAUUUUGAGAAGGGCUUUAGGUACUCAAAUCAAACCAUCUUUUGAGUUGUUGAGGUCUUAUCUUUAUAGUAAUGACAAAAUUGUAUCGGCUAUGAAGCGUAGUUCAUGGUUGUUGACGUUUAAUUUGAAGGGUACAAUGCAACCAAAUAUGGAUUUCUUAAAAAAAGAAGGUGUGCCUCCUCAUAUCCUCGAAAAUCUUAUUAAGUCGCACCCAAGAACUCUAAUGCAAAAGCAUCAUAGGAUGGUUUAUGCAGUGAAUACUGUUAAAAAUCUGGGCCUUAAAUCGACGUCUGGAAUGUUUAUACAUGCUGUUAGAGUGAUGAUAU
rnacentral:misc_RNA from 1 species